rnacentral:rRNA from 1 species
GACGAACGCUGGCGGCGUGCUUAACACAUGCAAGUCGAGCGGUAAGGCCCUUUCGGGGGUACACGAGCGGCGAACGGGUGAGUAACACGUGGGUGACCUGCCCUCAGCUCUGGGAUAAGCCUGGGAAACCGGGUCUAAUACCGGAUAUGACUCCAUGACGCAUGUUGUGGGGUGGAAAGCCUUGUGCGGCUGAGGAUGGGCCCGCGGCCUAUCAGCUUGUUGGUGGGGGAUGGCCUACCAAGGCGACGACGGGUAGCCGGCCUGAGAGGGCGACCGGCCACACUGGGACUGAGACACGGCCCAGACUCCUACGGGAGGCAGCAGUGGGGAUUUUGCACAAUGGACGAAAGUCUGAUGCAGUGACGCCG